GGUGGUGAGAGGUAGUGUGUUUUGAUUUAAGGGUAGUGAGAGGUAGUGUGUUUUGAUUUAAGGGUAGUGAGAGGUAGUGUGUUUUGAUUUAAGGGUAGUGAGAGGUAGUGUGUUUUGAUUUAAGGGUAGUGAGAGGUAGUGUGUUUUGAUUUAAGGGUAGUGAGAGGUAGUGUGUUUUGAUUUAAGGGUAGUGAGAGGUAGUGUGUUUUGAUUUAAGGGUAGUGAGAGGUAGUGUGUUUUGAUUUAAGGGUAGUGAGAGGUAGUGUGUUUUGAUUUAAGGGUAGUGAGAGGUAGUGUGUUUUGAUUUAAGGGUAGUGAGAGGUAGUGUGUUUUGAUUUAAGGGUAGUGAGAGGUAGUGUGUUUUGAUUUAAGGGUAGUGAGAGGUAGUGUGUUUUGAUUUAAGGGUAGUGAGAGGUAGUGUGUUUUGAUUUAAGGGUAGUGAGAGGUAGUGUGUUUUGAUUUAAGGGUAGUGAGAAGUAGUGUGUUUUGAUUUAAGGGUAGUGAGAAGUAGUGUGUAUCUAUGUGUUUUGAUUUAAGGGUAGUGAGAAGUAGUGCAUCUGUGUUUUGAUUUAAGGGUAGUGAGAUGUAGUGUGUAUCUAUGUGUUUUGAUUUAAGGGUAGUGAGAAGUAGUGCAUCUGUGUUUUGAUUUAAGGGUAGUGAGAGGUAGUGUGUUUUGAUUUAAGGGUAGUGAGA